rnacentral:rRNA from 1 species
CCUACGGGAGGCAGCAGUAAGGAAUAUUGGUCAAUGGACGCAAGUCUGAACCAGCCAUGCCGCGUGAAGGAUUAAGGCCCUCUGGGUUGUAAACUUCUUUUAUAGGGGACGAAAAAAGGGCAUUCUUGCUCACUUGACGGUACCCUAGGAAUAAGCACCGGCUAACUCCGUGCCAGCAGCCGCGGUAAUACGGAGGGUGCAAGCGUUAUCCGGAUUUACUGGGUUUAAAGGGUGCGUAGGUGGGUUGGUAAGUCAGUGGUGAAAUCUUCGAGCUUAACUCGGAAACUGCCAUUGAUACUAUCAAUCUUGAAUCAUCUAGAGGUAAGCGGAAUAUGUCAUGUAGCGGUGAAAUGCUUAGAUAUGACAUAGAACACCAAUUGCGAAGGCAGCUUACUAUGGAUGUAUUGACACUGAGGCACGAAAGCGUGGGGAUCAAACAGGAUUAGAUACCCUGGUAGUCCACGCCCUAAACGAUGGAUACUCGACAUUUGUGAUAUACAAUAAGUGUCUGAGCGAAAGCAUUAAGUAUCCCACCUGGGAAGUACGACCGCAAGGUUGAAACUCAAAUGAAAUUGACGGNGNGAGAGAGCGACGACGACGACGAGGGAGGAGG